rnacentral:lncRNA from 1 species
ACAUCCAAAUUCAACAGGGGACUGCACAACACACACAUACAUUUUCCGGCUGCUAAUAAUAAUGAGACAAACCUAGAUAGCAUCCUAAAAAGCAGAGACAUCACCUUGCCAACAAAGGUCCGUAUAGUUCAAGCUCUGGUUUUCCCAGUAGUGAUGUAUGGAAGUGCCGGAUACGACUAAACGACUAAACAACAACAGCAAUAAUAAUGAAGAUUAUGAGAAAACAACAGCAGAGAAAUUGAGCUAUAAAUGCACACACAGGCUGCCAUUCUAACCCUAACCCGUGCUAAGAAUGACACCUCACUCCCUCUCUGAAAUAAAAUAAGUGAGCGCACGUCAGAGGCAGCCAAAAGGGCAGGAAUCCCCCCCAAACCCAAGGCCAAGUCAGGCAUGAGAAGGCUGCUAUUGGAUGAGAUGCGGCCGCCAUUUUUGUACCCACCUCUGUCACACCCAGCGAAGGGAAACUUGUUUUAAAGUUGGGGGGGAUAUGGGGAAACCGCAAAAGGCACCCAUGGGGCUGGGCAAGGCAGAAGGAGGGUAACAGGCAAGGUGCAGCCACCAUUUUUGCACCUGUCUCCACGCACAGAGAGAGGAAGGAACAAGCUGCCUGUUCUUUCUGAGGUGAAUGGCUGCCCUAGAUGGCCAGUCUCCAUUUUUUCCUGAUGCCUCAGGAGGGUUGUGGCGCAUAAAACCAGAGCCCCUCAUGGGUGGCAAAGGAUCUCCUCCCUCUUUGCCAGGCAUAGGCAAACUCGGCCCUCCAGAUGUUUUGGGACUACAAUUCCCAUCAUCCCUGACCACGGGUCCUGUUAGCUACGGAUCAUGGGAGUUGUAGUCCCAAAAGAUCUGGAGAGCUGAGUUUGCCUAUGCCUGCCCUUUGCAUUCCAGAUCUGCAAAGGGUUUUACCUCAAGGUGUGGGGCUCUGCAUUUGUGCGAUGCAAUCACUGCCACCUGUAAUUUUUCACUAUGACUUUAAACUGGCGCUGCUUUUUGUGGAUGUGUGUAGUGUAACCUCUGCAUUUUGGGUGUCAGAUUGUGGUUUUCUGAGCUCCUUCCCUCAGAAACCUCCGGCUUGUCUGCCUCCAUGCCCUCUUCCCUCAGAGACUUAAGGGGUGAGACAUCUGGUGAGGAACCAAAUGAGUCCCGGGAUUGUUUCUGUGGAGAAAUAAGACCUUUUUUCUCUCCCUUCAGACCAGACAAGGGAUGUGAACAAACUGAGCAGAGGAAAUGGAGCCGUCCUCUAGCAGAGGCAUUUUCCCUCUCUCCCGCCAUGAAGAGGCUAAAUGAACGCCAGGCUCAAAACGCCAGGCUGCCUUUAGGUACAUGCCUCUUCCUUCCUUCCUUCCUUCCUUUCUUGACGAUUCAAAAGGUUCUCCUGCCCUCUUUCUCCCCCCUGGAGUAAGCCCUUCUCGAUGGCCCUUCUAAACAGCUACCGUCUGAAAUAAAUUAAUCACUACACAUGCCUCGUUCUGAAAUUAAUUAAUCACUAAACACGCCUCACGAGUCCCUGAGGAAUUUGGAAGGUUCCCCAGAGGAUGGCUUGGAAUUGCCUUGCUGGGUGAAACUGCAAGAUGGCCUUGUCCCUUUUCCUUAGGCUUUUCCCUCAGCUAUUGAAAAGGCAAAGCUGCCUCUCUUUUACCACAACUUUCCAAGUCAUUGUCUUAAGGAUCUCUUGAAAUUCACUCUGCAGAGUUUCAUUUUCUGGGCCACAGUUUGCACAUGAAAUAACCCAGGCGCCAUUCCAUGUUUUCUGCCUGUGUGUAAAAUAUUUUUUCUUCUUUCCUUUCUUUGACAAAUAGUCCCAAAUAGUUUCAAAAAUUUUUAAAUAGAAUUAAAUAGAAUUGAGGAGAAUUUCUAGAAAGCCCCCAAGCUUUCUAGUAUUCCCUUUAAACAGUAGAAAUAUGGGGCUGGUGGGAGUUCUGCACUGGCUCCCAUGGCAUGGCAAGUUCCUGCCCAUGUGCAGAGUUUUAUAUGGCUUCAUCUAGCUGGAGAAGCUUCGUUUGCAUAUUUCUGGCUGCUGUUAAAACACUUAGGAGCCUUUUUAGCUAAAUGCACCAGUGCCCAUUAGGCAUAUUCUUUCUCCUUUGACCACAGGAUGCAUCCUGGCAUCUUGGGUGAAGUUGUGCCCAUUUUCCACCUCCCCAGGGCAUCCAUUUGAUCCGACCUUCUACCUCAGCCACGCCGCCUCCAAUGUUAUCUGCUCUGUGGUUUUUGGCCAGCGGUUUGAAUAAGAGGACAAACAGUUUGUCUUUUGACUUGAUGCAACCAAGUAAUCUUUGGCUGAUGUUAAAACGUUCAGGAGUAGCGUUGGCUAAAUGCACAAGCGUCCAUUCUUUCCCUUCCUCCUCCAAUCCCAGGGGAUGUCCUGGCACCUCAGGUGAGAAUGGCUAUAGGGCCAGAUGGUGUCAGGUGCCAGCCUGAUCUGGCGGUUGUGGUUCUCACAGGGCCAGAUUUAGGUCUGAUGAGGCCCUAAGAUACUGAAGGGAAUGGGGCCUUUUAUACGUCCAGCUGUCCUUUGUCAAUAACAAAUUGCUGCUGGUUUUUUUAGUUGAAUACAUGCUAUAUGGUAAUUUAUGGGCCUAAUAGGUAUCUCAAGCCAUUUGUACAUGUUGCCAUGCAACCAGUCCAUGCAAAAUGUAAAGGUAAAGGGACCCCUGACCAUUAGGUCCAGUCCAGGGGUUGCGGCACUCAUCUCGCUUUAUUGGCCGAGGGAGCCGGCGUACAGCUUCUGGGUCAUGUGGCCAGCAUGACUAAGCCGCUUCUGGUGAAGCAGAGCAGUGCAUGGAAACGCCGUUUACCUUCCCACCGGAGUGGUACCUAUUUAUCUACUUGCACUUUGACGUGCUUUCGAACUGCUAGGUUGGCAGGAUCAGGGACCGAGCAACAGGAGAACCACCGACCUUCUGAUCGGCAAAUCCUAGGCACUGUGGUUUAAUCCCAUGCAGAAUGUAGGCACCUUAUAUAUAGAAAUGAGCGAACCAGUGAUAUUUUAGGGAGCAGGCUAGCAGGCGGGUCCCAUUACUUACAUCACAGGAGCCUACACAACACAAAACACUGUUGCUGUAUAUUAUUAUAUUUGUUUUUUAUGUUAUAUUUUGGAAAUGUACAUCCAGUUUUUUCCCCUUUAAAUUUGUUGGGAUCCCCCAAGAGAGUGGGGCCCUAAGCUAGAGCUUGUUUAGCUUAUACGUAAAUCCAGCACUGGGUUCUCACUCCUGGUCUCCUCAGCAGCUUCUGCUUCCAUUCUGAUAUCCAUUUCCAGUGGAGCUGGAUUCAAGUUUCCAUUCCUGACCCUGGUGGCAGCUGUCAGUCUGUUCGCUUGGGGUGCUCACCUCUGCCAGGUGGUUACCAAGAUGGGGACAGUGGCCUAGAGUUCUGGGGCAUUUGUUGAGACCUAGAGUCUUCAUCUUUGGAUGCCCAAGGUUGAUCCGUACAGGCUAUUCCUUGGCGGAGGUCUAUGGGGUUAGAGAGGGCUGGAGAUAAAAAGCUCUGGCUGACUCAAAGGGGCUUUUCUGGCAAGGUUGUCAACACUUUGUUUCCCUCAAGGCGGGUUUCUACCAACAACAUGCACAGGGAAGUUGCUUUUGCUUUUGUUUUAAAUAAAAAAUUUAAAUACCAUAUUUUCCCGUGUAUAAGACUAGGUCUUUUUCUUUUAAAAUUAUGUUAAAAAAUUGGGGGCAUCGAAUACACAGGUAUAAGACGGCCCCCCUUUUCUUAAUUUGGAGUCCCCCAAACAGGGGGUGUCUUAUACAUGGGGGCGUGUUAUACAUGGAAAAUACGGUAAAUCCUGGUGCUGCUCCACCGAGACUGACUCAGGAAGGAGGGGAUAAAUAGGGAGAUGGGCUGCACCAUGAUUAAAAUGCCACCUGCCAUUUUAAGCAGAGUUCUGGACAGUUUGGCUGGUCCAAGCUUGUCUUCACGUCAGAUGCUUUGAGGACAUCUGGGACUCGGUUACAUUAGUCCAACCCCCCCCCACACACACACCAGAUGGCGCCAGAGAGCAAAGAAAAAAAAUUCUAUGCAAUUUUUUAAAUAAUAUUUUUCCCCUUUUGUUAUAAUUAUUUAAUUUCUGACUUAUUUGUAGCGCCAUGUUUUCCCCCCUGUGUGUAGAUCCACCCCUCUUCUACUUGGGUUUGUUGUUGUUGUUUAGUCGUUUGGUCAAACUCAUGCUGGUAGCUUCGAGAACACUGUCCCACCAUCUCGUCCUCUGUCGCCCCCUUCUCCUUGUGCCCUCCAUCUUUCCCAACAUCAGAGUCUUUUCCAGGGAGUCUUCUCUUCUCCUGAGGUGGCCAAAGUCUUGGAGUCUCAGCUUCAGGAUCUGUCCUUCCAGGGAGCACUCAGUGCUGAUUUCCUUCAGAAUGGAGAGGUUUGAUCUUCUUGCAGUCCAUGGGACUCUCAAGAGUCUCCUCCAGCACCAGAAUUCAAAAGCAUCCAUUCUUUGGCGAUCAGCCUUCUUUGUGGUCCAGCUCUCACUUCCAUACAUCACUACUGGGAAAACCAUAGCUUUUACUAUACGGACCUUUGUUGGCAAGGUGAUGUCUCUGCUUUUUAAGAUGCUGUCUAGGUUCCUGGAGCAGGAACCGGCAAGCCUCUCCAGUAUCCCUGCCAGACAAGACAACAACAUAACCAGACAAGACAACAACAUAAAUUGGCUUCAAAUCGGCCACAACUUUAUUGAUUACAGGUGUGAAUGGUUUGGCAUAGGCAUUUGGGUGUAGCCAUUUUCAACUCCAGACCAUUUGCUGGGAGUGCAUCUAAGGGUAAAUCACAUCUGGCGGGGUGUGUGUGUGAUAUGACCUACAUCAAAUAGGGGUACCCCAUGAGGGUUCCCCGUGGAGGAGUACUGUGACCUUAGUCCCCGUCUGGGCAUCCAGACAGAAGCAACUCCUUGCAGAUCCCUUUAACAGGAUACCCAUAACCAAGGAGGGACAGGAAGAGGCUACAACCUCCCCUCCAGCCAAGACCAUGGCUUACCCAAUGCCUAACCUUACAAAGUUGUGACUAUUGCUACGAGGAAGGCAAAAACCACAAAACUGGAGCCAAUUUGCCAAGUGGAAAAAUUCUGGCCUGGUUCUGAAUAUGGCAACCAAUAAAGUACACAGCAAGGUCAAACAUGAAGGCAAAAAAGACAUGAAUAAUGGAGGCAGAGUGGGAGAUCCAGUGAAGAAUUGGGGAGGAAGUCUUUGCCAACCUCUGUUUAUCCCCCUGGGAGUGGAGCCAAGUGAUGCCUGUUGGCUGAGCCUAAGCCUGCCUGCCAUUGGCUGAUCUGCAAGCAGGCUGCAGGGCAGUGCUGGAUCGCAGACAUGACUGGGGCUACAACACCGCCUGACCAUUUUUUUUUUAAUAAGAUAUUUAUUAAGUUUUCUUAAAGUAUUAC